UCACAGGGCUGACACAUAGACACAGACAACCAUUCACACUCACACCUAUGGUCAGUUUAGAGUCACCAGUUAACCUAACCUGCAUGUUUUUGGACUGUGGGGGAAACCGGAGCACCCAGAGGAAACCCACACAGACACGGGGAGAACAUGCAAACUCUGCACAGAAAGGCCCUCGUCGACCGCGGGGCUCGAACCCGGUCCCUCUUGCUGUGAGGCGACAGCGCUAACCACUACAUCACCGUGCCACCCAUAGGCGGUUUUAAACGGGGGCCGGGGGGGCCAGUGCCCCUGUAAAAUUGCUCCUGGCCCCUGUUGUGGCCCCUGUGCUGAACAGAUAAUAAGAUUUAUUAUUUUCGACAUGCGCUGGCUCAAAGAUCGGAACUGACAUGACGGAGUGUUCUACACGGACUCCUUAAAGCGCUACACGCACACUGUUACCUGCAGCAGAAAGACCAGCAGCAGCAUGAAUUGUAAACUUCGGAUGUGAGAGAUAACAGCUGCAGCCCUGCAAGGACUAGGCUACUGCAAAGAGGCGAAGUAUAGGCCUACUGUAGGCUGUCAUCAUGGAAAGGAGCAAGAAGGAGAUUAUGUCCUUUUUUGCCCCUGUUGGCAAAAAGCAACAUAGAGAGAGUAAGGAAGAUGAAGAUUAAGAAAGAGGAGAGAGAGCCAGAGGUGGAGAGAGAGCCAGAGGUGGUGGUUGGAGAGGUGGAAAGUGAGGCAUCUGAAAGGCAAUCUGAGAGUGAGGAUGAAGACAUUCAGGAUCAGAUUGAGGGACAGAAUGAGGGACAACCCAACGAGUCAUUGGGACAACCAGAUUCACCAUGCAUAUCAAGUACAGCACCAUCAGAUAUCAGCAAGUGCUUGGACGACACUCCAGUACAGCCACAUCUGAAGAAAAGGUUCAUUUUAUGCAAAAAUAGAAAUCUUAUUUUACAAAAAAGAGAAACAUGGUUUUAAGAUUUAUUGAGCACAAUUUAUUUUAUGUUUAGGCUAUUGAGACAGAAUGUUUCUCAUUGUAUU